CGCAGACGUCCAGUCUGCACAGAGAGGACCUCCAGAGGGGUCUCCACUAUGGACAACCCGGACCCCCGCCAUCAGACAGUGAUUGGCUAAGUGGGCCGUCACCUGAGUGCUCCGGGGCCUAUUUCUUCCAAUAUUCACAGAACAGUCCUAAACCCUUCUCAGCCCCUGUGUCCACAGACAAGAACAUCCAAACAGCACUUAAGGAUUCGCACCGCGCCAAAAAACCUGGACCGUCAAGCCCGUUCUGUUCAACUCAAAACGCAAUGUUUUCCUAACUGAAGAGUCUUUCGCAACCGGCAGAUUUGUGGUUGUCACAGCAGCAGGAAAGGUUUGCACCCGGCGGAGCUGGAAUUCUCCAUCUGGAAGGAGACGACGGAAGAAGAAGAAGAAGAAGAGAACUGGGCUGCAGGGUGACGGCGAAAAUG